CAGGCUGUCAACAGUGGCAGUAGUUGGGGGCUCCCAUCUAUGAAAAAGCCACAGAAAGUCUUUUCCUACUGCCUGAGGAAUUAAUCCCUUCUUUAACGUUCAUAAUUGCUGGAUCGAUUUAACAGGACUGGAGCUAACAUUUGCUUGGAUUUGGCACCAUUGAUAGGGAACUGCCUGCUGCGUCCUCCGCUUUGAAGUCACCCUGGUCUUUGGGCCUCCAGCACCUUCUUCAGCAUGUCCAACCCAUCUAAGAGGCGUAUGAUACUGGUGUUCCACUGGGUUAGGAAGAAGCCAUUGACAGAGAAGCCGUGCUCUACCAUCUCGGCCAGACCUUCUGCCUCUGCACCGGCUUGCAACACUCCUCACAUUUCACCCUACUUCACGAGGAGCAAGACACAACCCGCUCCGCUCAGGAGGUCCAGCAGGCGCAAGGUGCUGCAAUUGCCGAAUCUCACCGACCCCAAGUUGUUAAGAUCUGUCAUUGGCAGCGUUGGCCGGAAGAGAGCCCGCAGGUGUGGCAAGCAAAAGAUGCCCACGAGCAUUUAAGAUAUGAAAAGCUACUGGAUUUAAUCAGGAAGUUAUGAGACAUGCACUGAUUGGAAGCGAAGCUGUAUAUCGGCCCUGAACCUUCUGCAGGUGCAGAUUAAGUAGGCUUGCUUUUAAAUGCCAUCUGAAUCAAGUUUCUCCCCCAUCCCUAUUGGUAGCUAUGUGGAGGGUUGCUACCACUUCUUCCUCCCUCCCUCUCCACUCCAGUGUAUCUUUUAACAUGAGCCAAAGAAGCAGACAAAAGGCAAAUGCUUUCCUCUCAGCUCUGUUCCCACUGGAGUCCACUGGUCUCCCCUUCUGUCACAGGCUCAUCCCUGAUCUCUCCCAGGUACCAGACGCUUUGCAACCAGAAGUUUAGUGAUCCUUCCACUUUGUUCCAGAUUUGGCAAGUAGGCCACAUAUGCCUUCCAGAUCUCGAGAAGAGGCCUGCCAUCUUCCACGCUUUGAUGCUGAGUGUCACGGAGGUGUUCCAUAAAGGCUUCCCUUUUACGGAUUAGAAAAAAAUACAAAUAUACAAAAAAAGGAAAAUACAUGUAACCAAUAAAAAAUUAGAAAACAUUUUACCUCUUCUCAUAUUUACAAUUAUUUGCACCUCUACAAAACAAUAUUCACAAUAAAGAAAAGAAAUGAAAGGUAAAAUAUAAA
rnacentral:lncRNA from 1 species